rnacentral:rRNA from 1 species
GAUGAACGCUGGCGGCGUGCCUAAUACAUGCAAGUCGAGCGAACGGACGAUAAGCUCGUGCCUCUGAUGUUAGCGGGUGACGGACGGGUAACGCAUGCAUCACCUACUUAUAUUACUGGGAGAACUUCGGAAAACAGCUGCUACUACUGCCUGAUACUUUGUACCGCUUGGAUCAAAAGUGAAUGACGCUCUUCGCGUUUCUUAUAGAUGAUUCCGGGUUGGAUUAGCUAGUUGGUAAGGUAACGGCUAACCAAGGCAACGAUGCAUAGCCGACCUGAGAGGAUGAUCGGCCACACUGGAACUGAGACACGGUCCAGACUCCUACGGGAGGCAGCAGUGGGGAAUCUUCCGCAAUGGGCGCAAGCCUGACGCAGCAAUGCCGCGUGAGUGAUGAAGGCCUUCGGGUCGUAAAACUCUGUUGUUGGGAAAGAACAGAUGCGGAAGUAACUGCGGCCGUCCUGACGGUACCUAAUGAAAAAGCAACGGCUAACUACGUG